ACCUUUAUCAGGAGGAUAGCCUUUCGAAAGGAAGAUUAAUACUCCAUAAUAUAUUAGAUGGCAUCAUUUAGUAUUGAAAACUCCGGUGGAUAGAGAUGGGCACGCGCAAGAUUAGAUAGUUGGUGAGGUAACGGCUCACCAAGUCAUUGAUCUUUAGGGGUCCUGAGAGGGAGAUCCCCCACACUGGUACUGAGACACGGACCAGACUCCUACGGGAGGCAGCAGUGAGGAAUAUUGGACAAUGGGUGAGAGCCUGAUCCAGCCAUCCCGCGUGAAGGAUGACGGUCCUAGGAUUGUAACUUCUUUUGUAU
rnacentral:rRNA from 1 species